AGCAAAUUUGCUCCUAAGCAGUCAAAAUUCUCAUCCAGAAUCAGCACUUGUCUCUCUUUAAGGCUACAAGGAAACCUUACUAUUUGCCCUCUAGGUAUUUGUCUACUCCUCUUGAAGUUCAACUCUUCAGGUUGUGUUGGGUAAGAAAAAGAUGUGUCUGUGUAUUUGUCGGUCUACAAAGCCACAAGAAAUACAGCAAUUGUCAGUAGCAACAGGGAUGGACUUUCAACAAAAUCAGCUGUUCUGAGACACACUGGAGAGAAGAAUCAUGUCGCGUACAAAAACUCAGCAGUCUGUUUAAAAAUGAAGAAGUCGUGACACCUAGCGAAGAGAUGCGUGACAAAAUCACAUGCUGUAACGGAGAAAUGGAAACUGAAUUACUUGAAUAUACAAGAUUUGCUUCAUCUGAAGAUUUAUUUUACUACACGUAUUAGUACCUGUAACAUCCCCAGUUUGCCGUCUUGGGUGUAAUUAACACUUAUACCACCGGAGUGUCUGGAUAUAAGGCAAGUGAAUGUAAAAACAUCAGUUCUGUCCAAAAUGUUCCAGUUUCUAUCCCUUGAAUCAUCAGCAUGUGACCUGUUCUGUGCCAAUAUUAAUAACCAUAGCUCAUGGCUUUCAAACAACUCAAACUACUUAAAAAUUAAUUCUGUUUACAGUGCCUUCUAGAGGAAGUAUUUUGUAGAAGUGAAUAACUCAAACUGACUAGUGGCUACCCACAAAAUAUGACUAUCAGUAACAAAAUGAAUCAUUUAGAACUUAGUUGGCAAGGAAUGGACACAUUGUUGGAGAAAAUAUCAAGUAGAAAUCAGAUCCAGCAGCUGGGAGUCCUGGGUUCUUUUUCCA